rnacentral:rRNA from 1 species
ACGCACGCUGGCGGCAUGCCUAACACAUGCAAGUCGAACGAGAUCCUUCGGGGUCUAGUGGCGCACGGGUGCGUAACGCGUGGGAAUCUGCCCUUAGGUUCGGAAUAACAGUUAGAAAUGACUGCUAAUACCGGAUGAUGACGUUAAGUCCAAAGAUUUAUCGCCUGAGGAUGAGCCCGCGUAGGAUUAGCUAGUUGGUGUGGUAAAGGCGCACCAAGGCGACGAUCCUUAGCUGGUCUGAGAGGAUGAUCAGCCACACUGGGACUGAGACACGGCCCAGACUCCUACGGGAGGCAGCAGUGGGGAAUAUUGGACAAUGGGCGCAAGCCUGAUCCAGCAAUGCCGCGUGAGUGAUGAAGGCCUUAGGGUUGUAAAGCUCUUUUACCCGAGAUGAUAAUGACAGUAUCGGGAGAAUAAGCCCCGGCUAACUCCGUG